UACAGAGGUCUCAAGCGUUGUUCGGAUUCAUUGGGCGUAAAGCGUGCGCAGGCGGCGCGUUAAGACAGGUGUGAAAGCCCCGAGCUUAACUUGGGAAUUGCGCUUGUGACUGGCGUGCUGGAGUGUGGCAGAGGGAGGUGGAAUUCCACGUGUAGCAGUGAAAUGCGUAGAGAUGUGGAGGAACACCGAUGGCGAAGGCAGCCCCCUGGGUCAAAACUGACGCUCAUGCACGAAAGCGUGGGGAGCAAACAGG
rnacentral:rRNA from 1 species